AAUUGUGCAAAGGAAAUAAACACUAAUAAAACUAAAUUUAAUACAAAAUUAACAAUAAUUUGCAUUUGUUAAAAAUAAAGGAAUUAUUUUUUAUUUCAAGCUAAAUUUAAAGAUUCUUCGUUGCGUUUCUUAACUCUCUGUCUACACCUAAGAGUAGACUACUAGAUAAAAAAAACCGUUGUAUGGCUAAAUAUUGUUGCUCUUCCUGUUUGUUAUGAUUUUUAUUUUUGUUUUGUUGUUAUCGUUUUCAACACCAAACAAAAACCAGAAAGUAAAACACACACAAAAAAAACACUCAUUGACGAUGAACCAACAGACAAACAUAUACAGAGAUUUUGAAAACAAAACUUGAAAUACAGAAAUAAAAAUAAUAAAUAAGUAGAAAAGAAAGAAGAUUGACAAACAACGAAUAACAACGAUUGAGUAAAUGCGGCAAAAAGAUACGUAUGCGAAUCUAUAAAAUUCAGUCGAGAAAAUACUCUUUUGGAGUACGGGUUGUGGAAACAUUGUGGUUUAUCUUUCGUUUUGCUAAAAUAAAAAUUACAGUGAUUUUUCUUCUUAUACAUUUUGGCCAUUUUCUUUCAUUUUUAUUCACUGGUGCGCCAGAGCCAGCUGAUUAUUUGUGAAAAAAUAAAUAGAAAGAAAAUUUUAAGAAAUAAUGGAAAAAAUGAAAACGCAUGAGAAGUAUUUGCUCAUGAAAAUAGUUUAGAAAAUACGUAAAUAAAUUGUGAAUAAUUUGUUAAUUUUUUUAUAAACGGGCGUUUUUUUUAACAUUUACAAAGUGUAAAUUAAUAAAUAAAUAUUAAAAAGUGGAAGGAAAAAAAAAAGAAUUAAUAAUUGUGAUGAUUAUGAUGAAAAAAUAGCAAGAUGAGAGAGAAGUGUAUUUACAAAAAGUAAAAAAAGAUAAAUAAAUACAUGUUCUCAUGAAUGUGUAUGAGUGAGUGAAUGCCUUUGCGGGAGAGUACGAGAAGAGUGUGUAUUUAACGUUUUCGCAUUCUAAUAAGAAAAAUCUAUAUGGAAAGAAAGAAGCAAUAAGUCAAAAAAAUUUCCAAAAUAAAUACAAAAUUUAGCAACAAAAUUAUAUCAUUUUUAAAAUUAAUAAAAAUAAAGAGAUAUUAAAGAAAUAUUAUCGAUAAAUAUAAGAAAUGAAAACCAUUUUUUUUAUAAAAAAUAUAAGUGCAAGUGUAUGUAUAAGUUGUUAAAAGGCAACAAUAAAAAAUAUAAUAAAAAAAAUAUUGUACUCAAUAUUUAUUGCUCAAUAGUUAAAGUGUAAAGUGGCAAAAAUUCAUUUAUUACAAUUUAAAUUAUAACAAAUAUAUAAUUAAACAAAAAUAUUUAACAAAAGCCUAUAAUAUAACGAUAAUACUAAAAAUAUUUUGAAGAAAAAUCUAUAAAAUUAAAAAUGAAAAUCUAAAAAAAAUCAUUAGUGAAAGCUAACAAAAAUUUACACAGAAAAAAUAGAAGAAGCAGCAGCAAAAUGUUGCAAACAUUGUGUUGAUUUGUGUUUUUUUCUUGUUUCAUCUGUUGUGCUCUCUUUGAAAUUUCUCAACCCAGCCCUCUCUUACGCUCUGUUAUUAUAUUGUGUAUCAGGCAUGGAAAAUUCAGUGCUUUAGUACGUUUUUGUCAGUACUUCUUGCUAUCAAGUUCUCUCUUUUACACACAUUUUUAUGCGAGUAUUUUUUAAUACAUUGUUGAUUAACAUCGUGUUUCCAUAAAAUACAAAAACAAAACG